GACGAACGCUGGCGGCGUGCUUAACACAUGCAAGUCGAGCGGGAACCCAGGGAGGGGUAACCCUCCUUGGGGGAGAGCGGCGAACGGGUGAGUAUCACGUGGGCAACCUGCCCCAGACACUGGGAUAACUCCGGGAAACCGGGGCUAAUACCGGAUACUUCGAUCGGUCCGCAUGGUCCGAUCGAGAAAGCUCCGACGGUCUGGGAUGGGCCCGCGGCCUGUCAGCUUGUUGGCGGGGUAACGGCCCACCAAGGCGACGACGGGUAGCUGGUCUGAGAGGACGGCCAGCCACACUGGGACUGAGACACGGCCCAGACUCCUACGGGAGGCAGCAGUGGGGAAUCUUGCGCCAAUGCGCGAAAGCGUGACGCAGCGACGCCGCGUGGGGGAUGAAGGCCCUCGGGUUGUAAACCCCUUUCGCCAGGGACGAAGCGAAAGUGACGGUACCUGGAGAAGAAGUCCCGGCUAACUACGUGCCAGCAGCCGCGGUAACACGUAGGGGACGAGCGUUGUCCGGAUUCAUUGGGCGUAAAGCGCGCGUAGGCGGUCGUGCAAGUCGGUUGUGAAAUCCCGGGGCUCAACCCCGGGACUGCGUCCGAUACUGCACGACUGGAGGCAGGUAGGGGAGAUCGGAAUUCCUGGUGUAGCGGUGAAAUGCGCAGAUAUCAGGAGGAACACCGGUGGCGAAGGCGGAUCUCUGGGCCUUGCCUGACGCUGAGGCGCGAAAGCUAGGGGAGCGAACAGGAUUAGAUACCCUGGUAGUCCUAGCCGUAAACGUUGGGUGCUAGGUGUGGGCGGACAUCGACCCCGUCCGUGCCGAAGCUAACGCAUUAAGCACCCCGCCUGGGGAGUACGGCCGCAAGGCUA
rnacentral:rRNA from 1 species